GACGAACGCUGGCGGCGUGCUUAACACAUGCAAGUCGAACGGAAAGGCCCUGCUUUUGUGGGGUGCUCGAGUGGCGAACGGGUGAGUAACACGUGAGUAACCUGCCCUUGACUUUGGGAUAACUUCAGGAAACUGGGGCUAAUACCGGAUAGGAGCUCCUGCUGCAUGGUGGGGGUUGGAAAGUUUCGGCGGUUGGGGAUGGACUCGCGGCUUAUCAGCUUGUUGGUGGGGUAGUGGCUUACCAAGGCUUUGACGGGUAGCCGGCCUGAGAGGGUGACCGGCCACAUUGGGACUGAGAUACGGCCCAGACUCCUACGGGAGGCAGCAGUGGGGAAUAUUGCACAAUGGGCGGAAGCCUGAUGCAGCAACGCCGCGUGCGGGAUGACGGCCUUCGGGUUGUAAACCGCUUUCGCCUGUGACGAAGCGUGAGUGACGGUAAUGGGUAAAGAAGCACCGGCUAACUACGUGCCAGCAGCCGCGGUGAUACGUAGGGUGCGAGCGUUGUCCGGAUUUAUUGGGCGUAAAGGGCUCGUAGGUGGUUGAUCGCGUCGGAAGUGUAAUCUUGGGGCUUAACCCUGAGCGUGCUUUCGAUACGGGUUGACUUGAGGAAGGUAGGGGAGAAUGGAAUUCCUGGUGGAGCGGUGGAAUGCGCAGAUAUCAGGAGGAACACCAGUGGCGAAGGCGGUUCUCUGGGCCUUUCCUGACGCUGAGGAGCGAAAGCGUGGGGAGCGAACAGGCUUAGAUACCCUGGUAGUCCACGCUGUAAACGGUGGGUACUAGGUGUGGGGUCCAUUCCACGGGUUCCGUGCCGUAGCUAACGCUUUAAGUACCCCGCCUGGGGAGUACGGCCGCAAGGCUAAAACUCAAAGGAAUCGACGGGGCCCCGCACAAGCGGCGGAGCAUGCGGAUUAAUUCGAUGCAACGCGUAGAACCUUACCUGGGUUUGACAUGGAUCGGGAGUGCUCAGAGAUGGGUGUGCCUCUUUUGGGGUCGGUUCACAGGUGGUGCAUGGCUGUCGUCAGCUCGUGUCGUGAGAUGUUGGGUUAAGUCCCGCAACGAGCGCAACCCUUGUUCACUGUUGCCAGCACGUUAUGGUGGGGACUCAGUGGAGACCGCCGGGGUCAACUCGGAGGAAGGUGGGGAUGACGUCAAGUCAUCAUGCCCCCUAUGUCCAGGGCUUCACGCAUGCUACAAUUGGCUGGUACAGAGAGUGCCGAGCCUGUGAAGGGUGAGCGAAUCUCGAAAACCCGGGUCUCGUUCGGAAUGGGGUCUGGAACUCCACCCUCAUGAAUUCGGAAUUGCUAGUAAAUCCCGAAUUAGCAACGCUUCGGGUGAAUAACUUCCCGGGG
rnacentral:rRNA from 1 species